UAAUCAUCCAUAGGAAUAUAAACCAUAUCUGGGCUGCUCUGCCAUCAUUCACACUCUGGAGGCAAAAGAAGAAGAGUCUGUUUAAGUCACUUGUAGAAAAAAGGCCUAGAUAAUCAUGGUGAAUCAACUGAUUGCAGUCGCUAUUGUCAUGGUAGUGCUAGCCACAGCAGCUGCCGACGAUUACUACGAACAGGGCACAAAACCCUACAACAAGAGAAGCUACUACAAGAAAAAUGAGGUCUGUGCAACGCUGGGCGAACCAGUCCUGGUCCAGACAGUCGACGAUUUGGCAUCUUGCGGGCGCUACGCUUCAGGAAAGGAUUCCUACUUCGGACGUUUUGUCCGUGAACCAAUGGCAGCUUACUUGGUCCAAACAGUGAGCAGUGGAUAUCUUUGCAGCUACUACGAUGAGAGAUGCAGUGCAUAGGGACUUCCAGAAAAAAAGCACAUUUGACAAAUUUUGGUGACGAAUUUGAGAUCCUUUUGACAACUUGUGCAAAAAUAUGUUGACAGUGGUAUAUAAAAUUGCUGCACUCUUUUUUAAAAUGAUGCCUCCACAGUAUCAAAAUGUUCCCAGCAUACUAUAAACUGCAUCAAUUUUUCUGAAAAUUUGAACUCCUUACGACGAACCCCAUCAGACCUAAAGUAGGCCAAGUAUCGUUUAGCAGCAAAUAAAGAGAAUGAUUAGUUGAGCUUGUAUCAGAAA